rnacentral:rRNA from 1 species
GUCAUGGCUCGGAUUGAACGUUGGCGGCAGGCCUAACACAUGCAAGUCGAACGGUAACAGGAAGCAGCUUGCUGCUUCGCUGACGAGUGGCGGACGGGUGAGUAAUGUCUGGGAAACUGCCUGAUGGAGGGGGAUAACUACUGGAAACGGUAGCUAAUACCGCAUAACGUCGCAAGACCAAAGAGGGGGGACCUUCGGGCCUCUUGCCAUCGGAUGUGCCCAGAUGGGAUUAGCUAGUAGGUGGGG